rnacentral:rRNA from 1 species
AUUGAACGCUGGCGGCAUGCCUUACACAUGCAAGUCGAACGGUAACAGGUCUUCGGGUGCUGACGAGUGGCGAACGGGUGAGUAAUACAUCGGAACGUGCCUAGUAGUGGGGGAUAACUACUCGAAAGAGUGGCUAAUACCGCAUGAGAUCUACGGAUGAAAGCAGGGGAUCGCAAGACCUUGUGCUACUAGAGCGGCCGAUGGCAGAUUAGGUAGUUGGUGGGAUAAAAGCUCACCAAGCCGACGAUCUGUAGCUGGUCUGAGAGGACGAACAGCCACACUGGGACUGAGACACGGCCCAGACUCAUACGGGAGGCAGCAGUGGUGAAUUUUGGACAAUGGGCGCAAGCCUGAUCCAGCAAUGCCGCGUGCAGGAUGAAGGCCUUCGGGUUGUAAACUGCUUUUGUACGGAACGAAAAGCCCCGGGUUAAUACCCUGGGGUCAUGACGGUACCGUAAGAAUAAGCACCGGCUAACUACGUGCCAGCCGCCGCCGUAA